GACGAACGCUGGCGGCGUGCUUAACACAUGCAAGUCGAGCGGUAAGGCCCUUUCGGGGGUACACGAGCGGCGAACGGGUGAGUAACACGUGGGUGACCUGCCCUCAGCUCUGGGAUAAGCCUGGGAAACCGGGUCUAAUACUGGAUAUGACUCCAUGACGCAUGUUGUGGGGUGGAAAGCCUUGUGCGGCUGAGGAUGGGCCCGCGGCCUAUCAGCUUGUUGGUGGGGUGANGGCCUACCAAGGCGACGACGGGUAGCCGGCCUGAGAGGGCGACCGGCCACACUGGGACUGAGACACGGUCCAGACUCCUACGGGAGGCAGCAGUGGGGAAUAUUGCGCAAUGGGCGAAAGCUUGACGCAGCAACGCCGCGUGAGUGAUGAAGGCCUCGGGUCGUAAG
rnacentral:rRNA from 1 species